rnacentral:lncRNA from 1 species
UGUUGUGGUGUAACCUGCGAGCCUGUUUACUGAGAUAUAACUCUUUAUUUAUUGCUUUGACAAAGUAAAAUGAUGUUUAUCAUGAAAAGCUACAUUGACCUCUCACUGAGUGCUAACUCAUGGGCUUGCACGUAUUUCCUGUGAUGAAAGUAGAAAGAGACCUUGACCCAUGUUGUUUUCUGAAGCUUUGAAGUUGGUCUUAGUCUAUUACUAGUUGUAGUUGAAGUUCAAAGUAUAUGUGGGAUGCUGCUUGAGAUUCUUAUGUGCUAUAGUUUUGUCUUUAAGUUUUAGUGUCUUCUCUAGGCAUCUGCUCUGUUUUUAAAGAGCAUGGCUUGUACUUGUGUGGUUUGUCUAACACUAUACAUGUCAGGAAUCGUGUGGUUAGACUCAUGCUUUUUGACAUGGGAGGAGUUCAGCUGGAUUAAAGAAUGGAAAAACUUCAAAGCUGUCUUGAAGAAAAAGGGGAACUGUUUAUGCUCUCACUCAGAAAUUAAAUGAGUUAACAAGACAUGUUUGAAUACAGAAAUGGAAAUCACAAAGGAUCACAAUGGAAACUAGAAAGGGUAAGGAAAGAACUCUGCUAAGCCAUUAAUCAGAGGA